rnacentral:rRNA from 1 species
GACGAACGCUGGCGGCGCGCUUAACACAUGCAAGUCGAACGGAAAGGCCUGCUUUCCCUUGUGGAUUGCGGGUACUCGAGUGGCGAACGGGUGAGUAACACGUGAGUGAUCUGCCCCCAACUUGGGUAUAAGCCUGGGAAACUGGGUCUAAUUCCCGAUAGGACUGCAGGGUGGUGCCUGUGGUGGAAAACGAUUUUCUAGUGGUUGGGGAUGAGCUCGCGGCCUAUCAGCUUGUUGGUGGGGUAAUGGCCUACCAAGGCGGCGACGGGUAGCCGGCCUGAGAGGGAGGACGGCGACAUUGAGACUGGGAUACGGCCCAGACUCCUACGGGAGGCAGCAGUGGGGAAUCUUGCACAAUGGGCGGAAGCCUGAUGCAGCGACGCCGCGUGGGGGAUGACGGCCUUCGGGUUGUAAACUCCUUUCGACCGCGAGGAAGCCACCUGGUUGGAAGGGUGGUGACGGUAGUGGUAGAAGAAGCACCGGCUAACUACGUG